GUUCCCUACCCCUGAGUUAGAUGAUUUCUCUCCUUGAAAGUGCUCGCUGAUGGGCUGACAUUCUGGCCGGGGUCUUCUCCUGCCUGUCUGGGUCCUGUGCUGUCAGGGAUGCACUCCAGAGUUGUGAUUUCAACAUUUAUUCAUUUUCCAAAAUCAAUAACUAUUCAAUGUUUAAUUCACUGAUGCAAGACCUAAAUUCACCCAUAAUUAAGAUGGCGAAACAAUGUUGCAAUAUAAACACUGAUUCAAUUCUCAGAAUCAAAGCAAAAUUCAGCAGUGAUUCAACCUUAAUCCAUGACAUUCAUUCACCCGUGAAUGAAUGUUGAAAUACCAGUUGGGUAUAGUUAUGAUUUUUGGCUUAUAGUAGUGGGGGUGGAACUUCCAAAAACGUGGCUCCCGUAAAUAUGUGAAAUGCUUGUAUGAAGGUGUGCAUAUAACCUGGGAACAUAAUGACCAUUGAGCCAGUUAAACAAGUUGGAAACUCAAAGAUUUCCAAGGCAGGCAGGCAUCCACGUAAUAAACUACAGCUUUGAACGCCACCCCCCCCCCCAAAUUUGUCUGCUUCCAACUUGGCUUGUAGCCAAGUAACUGGAUUACCAUGUAAAACCCCAACCCAAAAUUUGCUUCCACCCACUGGCAAAAUCUACCGAAGCAGACUUUGGUGAUAGUUGCUGCUUUGCGAUUAAAAAUCUAUGUGGAACAAUUACAAAACAUACUCCCUCGCACGUGUGAAAAUUGGACUGAGAAAUGACAUUUCACCACUAUCUGUAUAUCAUUUUGGAAAGUUACAUUGAAUUUACUAGUAACUGUUAGGUUAAAACUCAUAUUCCUAGCAUGCAUCACAUUGCUAAAUGACCCGUACUGAGCAUUCGAAACCAAGUUACUGGCACUCAUGCUUAACAAAAUAACUACUGCAGUGACAGACACACUGCAUAAUGUUUCCCUGAACACUUAAAUGACUGGAGUCUAUCAGUAACAACCGAACUGUAGUAGAAUUGCUCAUUAGGGUUGGGUGAUAUUAAAAAAACUACAUUUUAAUUAUAAAAUAUCUAGUUAAACGAUAAUUUAACGUCACCCCCCCCCCCCCCCCCCAAACACACACACAACCACUGACACAUGCUCAGUGAAUAGUCAUUUUACAUCAUUAAUCAAUGCUCUGCAUUAGUUUAGACAUUUAUAAUUUUUAAGGUCGGAACAGAACAGGCAAACGCGAUGGGUCGGUGGGUGUACAAAAAUACCAGACAAAUCGCAUAUUUUUGUGGACCAGUAUGAGGGAUUUUAUUUUCCAGUAUGGGGCAGUCUGCACUCCGCAUUGGACAAGCUUUUAAAAGUAAUUAACUGCCCAGCCUAGUUCAUCUAAAAAUUGUCAAUGGUUCUUUAAUUUUUUUAAUCCCAAAUUUUGGCUUUAGCCUGGGAAGACUUAAAUGAAAGAAGGGAUUUGUAUCUAGGCUAUCAAGGCCAUCAGCAGUGUCUUCAUCUUGUAAGGGGACUAACAAUGAAAAUGUCUCGUCAUGUUCGACCAUCCACAUAAACCCAGAAACUCAAAAUCUUCACCAGGAAGUUGCAUUUGAACGGCUGACGUUCUGGUGCUGACUGGCAGACUGCCUUUGGUGAUGCGGCAAUGUCUAACUUCCUAAUUCACAAGAAUGGAGAACACACUAUUACUGCAAUGAGGAAUGCUUGUGAAAGCCGGUGCUAUAAUAGCCCUUCUUUUUAACUGCGUCAGAAAUUUCUGUUGUCUUUUUUGUGUUGAAUAAGCCUACUUUCCCGAUAAAGGCAGUGAUCACCAUUUAGUCACUGUCUGAUAUCAAUUGCCUUCAGAAUGAAUGAAAUUUUGUUAUUAGGGCAAGUGUCAGCACCAGUGACAAACAUUCUUGCUGGGGCUGAUUUACCAAUAGAUUUCCCUUUCUAGUCCAGUAUAAGCAUUCAAAUGAGCAGUCAGAAAAUGACAACAAUUUCACAAUCAUAAUGUAAUUUCCUUAGUUGUCUGGGGGUUGGCAUGGUGGUGCAGUGGUUGGCCCUGUUGCCUCACACCUCUGGGACCCGGGUUCAAGUCUCUGCCUGGAUCACAUGUGUGUGGAGUUUGCAUGUUCUCCCCCUGACGUCGUGGGGUUUCCUCCAGGUACUCCGGUUUCCCCCCACAGUCCAAAAACAUGCUGAGGCUAACUGGACUUGCUAAAUUGCCCAUAGGUGUGCAUGUGAGAGUGAAUGGUGUGUGAGUGUGCCCUGAGAAGGGCUGGCCCCCCAUCCUGGGUUGUUCCCUGCCUCGUGCCUAUUGCUUCCAGGAUAGGCUCCAGAUCCCCCGCAACCCAGUAGAAUAAGCAGUUUGGAGGAUGGAUGGAUGGAUGGAUAGUUGGCUGGGCGAUAUUUAUUUUGGGCUUAUCGGGUCCCAGCUCCUUAACGUGGAUUUUUUCCACCAUCAUCCUCGCAAAAAGGUAAUCCAAUAACGAUCUCACGGAACUUGCUGGAAGCCGCCCCUCAACUGUCGUCGUCGCCAUCAUCUCUCUCUGACUGACUGACCUGAGAGCGAUCCAAAACUUUUCUGCAGCAGGGGCGAAAUUUCCAGCACCCCAAGACCAUUCAAGUCGGCGAUGCUGAUAGGCGAAAUCUUUAUUAUAUUCGCCUAGCAACCGUACACGAUUGGCUGUUUCGCUGCACUUCUGGGGCGCUUUGAUGAUUAUAUGACUGGUGGAAAUCUGUCGGUGGAAAUUCACUGUAGAAUGAGAGUGGAAAUGUUGUUUACAUAAUUCAGAUUGCAUGUAGGCAGACACUAUUAAGUAAAACUGACAUUGAUCAAAUAAAUAUAUAUAUAUAUAUAUAUAUAUAUAUAUUAUAUCCCACCCCCACAUCUGGGAGGGCGGCACUCCAGCAUCCCCUAUGGACCAGCCUCCACUGGUCAGCACCUUUCAUGGACCUCAUGGAAUAGUGUUUUACUGAGAUUCGUUGUGCAAGUUCGGCAAUUUCUUUGUGCAUAAUACUAGUAUUGUUUUGGGUGCUACAAACAUUUUAAACUUAAUAGCACAUGUGGUAGAGAAGCCUAGCAUAGAGCCCCAAGUGAUGAUAAUGGGCAUUUUAUUUGGAUGUGGAUUUGGCAAAACACUGCAGCUGAAAAAGAACAAGGACAGUCAAUUUGUCUUUAUCACAGAGGAAACAUGGAGAGAAAAAAACAAGCCUUGGGUCUUCAGAAGGGCCACCACUGCAAUUUAGUCUAAGAACCUGAAUAACAAAACAGAAUUCUGAAGCAGCUCAGCAUCAGGACCACGCAAAGAAUCCAGUUCCACGACUUGUACCCACCUAGUUUUGCUUACACCAUCCCAACCAGUAGUAUCUACAAGAGAAAUACAAAUAUUAAUUGACUGUUCCUGGAGCUACAGACCAAGGUGCUAUUAGGGAAGCAAUUAAGGAACCAGAAGCUGGUGGUGCAACAAGAAUGACGAGUGGAAGUCGGGACCCAGAGGAACCGUCAUGACUCGGACAUUUAUUAGCCUUGAUGCCAGGGGGGGGUUCCACGAAGCAGGAUAAAGGGAAAGUCUGACUUAUUUCGACAAGUCUGGUUCAUUUAAGUUGGAGUUACGUUCCAUUAACGUGUCGUUAAUGAAUCCCCCGCUGAACUACCAUGGUAACUUAGGCGAGUGAACAAGUUUGCCCCGGAUCGGGUUAACUGUCUUGUUUAUUUAAGCGUUGUCUCAAAGAACGUCCAAUGUGUGGGAACAGAUUCUCAGAACAUCGUUCCAUCGGACAAAAUUCUGCACUCUCACUACUCAUGUCAUGUAAUAAAUAUAAUGAAGCUUAUAAAAAUCAUGUCUCAGCAUUCCAAUUAAUUCCAGAAUAAUUAAAAUAAAGGCGUACACGUAUUACAGAGCUCAAACAUGAAAUGCAAUGACUGAAAUUGAAAAAAAAUAUCAUUAAAAUAAUAUGAACAGGAAGAUAUUUUUAUGUUUUGUUUAGUCACAGUCUACUUUGAAAGUUUAUUAAUAAAAAGCAAAGACAAGAUACGGUUAUUUGUGCAGAAAAUUUCACACAGAUGCAUUUGAAAGAAUUUUACGGAGACCAAAUAAUAUAAAAUAACAUUAUACAGUAAGAAUGACACGUGAACUUAACCGAGAAGGUUCCCCAUUGGCUAUGGGGAUCGAAACAGGAACUUUCGCAGUGUAAAGUGACAGCAUAAACCACUGUACUACUGUGCCACUGUAUUAGGCAAUUGUAACAUUUACAUAACUUACGCAUUUAGUCUGUCUGCAGUUCGUCACCAAGGCAACUCCCUGGCUGUAUUUAUGGCCACAGUAUUGCCUUUUUAGCGAUUACAUUUUUGUAUUUUUCAUACAGCUCCAUCAGCAGCGUUUUUUCCGCGGUGGGAAAAAAGAAAACAUCACUCUCGUUUUAGAAAUGGCGCUAGUUUGGCUUUCUUUAGCUACUUUCAUGGAUUACCCCCCAGAUCUCUGACAGAGUCUCACCCCGGGCUGCCCACACAACAUGCCAAAGCUUCUGCCCCCUGGACCCUUGAGAUCAACAGUGAAAAUGCUGCUGGAAACGGUGAACCGGGGGACCUGGGCCACUGGCUGGAUUGAUAGCUCCAGGAUGAGGAGAAGCAGAAGGCUGACACGUCUGCAGAGUCCUGGAGACCCCAAACCGGAAACCUAAAGGCAGGGACGGAUUACGGACGGGGCCAGCAGGGCUGCUGCCCAGGGGCCCUUGGAGUGCAGGGGGCCCGUGGGGCCCCUAGCCCAAAACAAUUUGCAACGCUUACCAACAAUGUAUUUUCGUUUGUCUAUUUUAGAGGGCCUACAUUCUUUGAUCCUCUGCCUACAAGGGCCCCUGACCCUAUAGGGAGGGCGUUUGGCUGCCAAGGGCCCUUGAAUUGUGGUGGUUGUGGUGGUGGUGCUGGUGGUGUGUGUGUGUGUGUGUGUGUGUGUGGAGGGGGGGGGGGGCCCUCGCGAACGUUUUGCCCAGGGGCCCACACAACCCAUAAUCCGUCCCUGCCUAAAGGGGCAAGAACACAAAACCAAACCCUCAGAGGGAAGAUGCCAGCUGCACAGUUCACCAUCUGUGAAAUGAUAACCAGCUGAGAUCAUGAAGGCCCAACACAGAAACUGGCCAACCAGAAGCCCAAGGACAAAUGCCAGUCAAGGGCUGUGAACCCCAAGCUACCCCAACCCAACAAGCCAGUACCUGUUGGCUACAGACAGGCAUGGAGAAAACAGACCUACACAGACCAGCACUGCAAAAACUUCACUGCACUGUAGUGCACCACACCAAAGCCUUGCCAAGGUUACUACUGAACCCAGUGCUCCAAGAGCGAUGCCAAUGACCGAGCACUGCUCACUGCAUUGGUAAAACAAGGUUGGGCUCUACUACCAGCCCAGAGCAGAGCUCACUUACCUGAUUAAUCAGAGGCAGGUGUGACAGGAACGACUCAAGAGAACCAGAUAAACUUCAUAAGACGGCAUGGAUGGAUUAAGAGCUCUUAUCGUUCCAGCAGAUGGUUACCACUCGGUGUCGACUAUCUCUUUUGGAAGACUGCCUUUGUGGUGGCUACCUGCUCUGACAUGGCACUCCCACCGUUCGCUAGAGGCCACCGGCCCCAGCUGGAGCAAAUGGUAGCUUCAUCUCUCCCACCAGAGUCAAGGUAAGGGUGUGUAGAGCAAAUCCACUGGCAUCAUGCCUGAUCCUGUGAGGAUGUUCGACAGGCUGGCCGUCUGUCUCCUCGAUUCCAUCCUUGGCUGAGGCAGCCGGACAGCCCACUCUCUCCUGACAGACAUUAACCUGUGAGGAUCAUCAGCCACAAGCUAUAAUUGUUCCUUCCAAACCAAAGUGCACCUACCAUGUUUUUCAUCUGGCACAUUCCAGUCUCAGAUAAAAGGGUCUUCGGAGUGUAUAUGCAAUUCAUGACUUAAUGGUGUGAAGAAUUCAAUGAGGCCAUGUACAUCUGACCAGCAGCAUUACAUAUUACAACCUCUGUGUUCAUAGUGUGACCAGUUUUCUGUGUGAGGCAUGAACCACAGCUUCCUCCAGCACAGACUAAUUACACCAGAUGACCAUCAGACAUCUGCUUUCAACACAGUUUCUCUAAAACAUCCAUUUCCUCAGGAAUCUGCUGAUGUCAUCAAUAUACUCAUGUGAUACAUGAUCAUUUUUCCCAUCAGUAAAUUAGACUAGAUCCAGUAAAUCUACACCUGAAGCAUCAAUUUGUAUUCUAUAGAAUUUCUAUAGAAGUUCAAUUUUUGACAUAUUAAAUAUUUAAAAAACAGUUGUAAUCAGGGGCCCCGUAAAAGAAGGGAAAGUUAGGAUGCUUCCAAGGGCCCCUGAGCGACUGCUGCCCUAAACAUUUAGACCAUAAUUCAAUUGAUCUGUGUCAGGGGCCCUAUAUAAUAUACUUUUAUGGUUGAGGAAGGGUGUAGUGAAACCAUUCAUAUUACUGCCAACGCUGACAGCAGUAAGUGUGAAAAGUGUGCAGGCAUCAGCAGAUUAUCCCUUUGAAAUGAAAUCAAAUCUGAAUUGUAGUUAAAAAAAAAAAACCCUGAGACUGUUCAUUUCAGUUCAGGUGUAAAAAAAUGUUUUCUGAGUAUGUGAACUUUUAACUGUGAGUAUUUGUGAUUAUAAAUGUUGACUGAAUAGA